AUUGAACGCUGGCGGCAGGCCUCACACAUGCAAGUCGAACGAGUGGCGGACGGGUGAGUAAUGUCUGGGAAACUGCCUGAUGGAGGGGGAUACCACCUGGAAACGGUCGCUAAUACCGCUUAGCAUUGGGUGUGCCCAGAUGGGAUUAGGUAGUAGGUGGGGUAAAGGCUCACCUAGGCGACGAUCCCUAGCUGGUCUGAGAGGAUGACCAGCCACACUGGAACGGAGACACGGUCCAGACGCCUACGUGAGGCAGCAGUGGGGAAUAGUGGACAAUGGGCGAAAGCCGGAUACAGCCAGGCCGCGUGUAUGAAGAAGGGCUUCGGGGUGUAAAGUACUGUCAGCGGGGAGGCGUUACCCGCAGAAGAAGCACCGGCUAACUCCGUGCCAGCAGCCGCGGUAAUAC
rnacentral:rRNA from 1 species